GAUGAACGCUGGCGGCGUGCCUAAUACAUGCAAGUCGAGCGAACGGACGAGAAGCUUGCUUCUCUGAUGUUAGCGGCGGACGGGUGAGUAACACGUGGAUAACCUACCUAUAAGACUGGGAUAACUUCGGGAAACCGGAGCUAAUACCGGAUAAUAUUUUGAACCGCAUGGUUCAAAAGUGAAAGACGGUCUUGCUGUCACUUAUAGAUGGAUCCGCGCUGCAUUAGCUAGUUGGUAAGGUAACGGCUUACCAAGGCAACGAUGCAUAGCCGACCUGAGAGAGUGAUCGGCCACACUGGAACUGAGACACGGUCCAGACUCCUACGGGAGGCAGCAGUAGGGAAUCUUCCGCAAUGGGCGAAAGCCUGACGGAGCAACGCCGCGUGAGUGAUGAAGGUCUUCGGAUCGUAAAACUCUGUUAUUAGGGAAGAACAUAUGUGUAAGUAACUGUGCACAUCUUGACGGUACCGAAUCAGAAAGCCACGGCUAACUACGUG
rnacentral:rRNA from 1 species